rnacentral:rRNA from 1 species
AGCUCAGCAUUGGGCAUAAAGCGUGCGCAGGCGGUUUAGUAAGACAGAGGUGAAAUCCCCGGGCUCAACCUGGGAACUGCCUUUGUGACUGCAAAGCUGGAGUGCGGCAGAGGGGGAUGGAAUUCCGCGUGUAGCAGUGAAAUGCGUAGAUAUGCGGAGGAACACCGAUGGCGAAGGCAAUCCCCCUGGGCCUGCACUGACGCUCAUGCACGAAAGCGUGGGGAGCAAACA